CGUUUGACCUCAAAUCAGAUGGGACUACCCGCUGAACUUAAGCAUAUCAAUAAGCGGAGGAAAAGAAACUAACAAGGAUUCCCCUAGUAACGGCGAGUGAAGAGGGAAAAGCUCAAAUUUAAAAUCUGGCGGUCUACGGCCGUCCGAGUUGUAAUUUAGAGAGAUGUUUUCCGCGUCGGACCACACACAAGUCCUUUGGGAUAAGGCUUCAUAGAGGGUGAGAAUCCCGUACAUGGUGUGGACUACCGGGGCUAUGUGAUGCAUCCUCGAAGAGUCGAGUUGUUUGGGAAUGCAGCUCAAAAUGGGUGGUAAAUUCCAUCUAAAGCUAAAUAUUGGGGAGAGACCGAUAGCGCACAAGUACCGUGAGGGAAAGAUGAAAAGCACUUUGGAAAGAGAGUUAAACAGUACGUGAAAUUGCUGAAAGGGAAACGCUUGGAGUCAGUCGCGUCUUCUUGGACUCAGCCGUGGUUCUCCGCGGUGUACUUCUGAGGAGAUGGGCCAACAUCGAUUUUGUUCGCCGUACAAAGGCGAGAGGAAGGUGGCAUCUCUCGGGAUGUGUUAUAGCCUCUCGUUGUAUGCGGUGGGUGGGAUCGAGGAACGCAGCGCGCCCGCAAGGGUUGGGAUUC
rnacentral:rRNA from 1 species